rnacentral:lncRNA from 1 species
UGGGCGGUCCAAGGCGAGGAGAAGGCACCUAGCGUGGCGCUAGGCGGAUUUGCGAUUAGAGGCAAACCGCCGGGUGGUGGCCCCCUGCCGCCGGGCGGUUGAGCGAUUAGAGGCAAACCGCUGGGCGACAUAAGUGUGCCGUCGGGCGGUUGUCCGCUUGGCCUGGGCCUGUUUUCUGUGACGCUCCUCAGCUAUAAAUAGCCCUGUUACGAUUUCAUUCUUAUUCUUUUGACAGAAGAGGGUGGCC